GGUCGGGUCCUGUGCAACUGCGGCUCGUGAACCGAGUCAGGGCCGGAAGGCAGCAGCUCUCAGCGAAACCCACGGUGUGCCGCAGGUCGCCUGACCGCC
rnacentral:SRP_RNA from 1 species